rnacentral:rRNA from 1 species
AGAGUUCGAUUCUGGCUCAGGAUGAACGCUGGCGGCGUGCCUAACACAUGCAAGUCGAGCGAAGCACUUUGCUUAGAUUCUUCGGAUGAAGAGGAUUGUGACUGAGCGGCGGACGGGUGAGUAACGCGUGGGUAACCUGCCUCAUACAGGGGGAUAACAGUUAGAAAUGACUGCUAAUACCGCAUAAGACCACAGCACCGCAUGGUGCGGGGGUAAAAACUCCGGUGGUAUGAGAUGGACCCGCGUCUGAUUAGCUAGUUGGUAAGGUAACGGCUUACCAAGGCGACGAUCAGUAGCCGACCUGAGAGGGUGACCGGCCACAUUGGGACUGAGACACGGCCCAA